AGACACAAUUUAAUGAAGAUUAAACAUUUGUCCAAGAGAAGGUAACAAGACUUUGGCCAGGAAGAACCCCUGCUGUUUGUAAACACAAAAGAGAAACACAGGCUCGUUAACACUUGAGUGCUUUUAUUCAGCAUGAGCCAGCCACUGGAACCUUGGGAACAACUGCAUCUACCACACAACAGCAUGCAGGACCAAACAACAGCUGAUGAUCCUGGUAUCCAAGCACAAAGAGCCCAGAUUGGAACAGUUUCCUUCUCGGAGAAGGACGCAGCUAGAAUCCAGAUUUUAGGAGGAGAUGGUGUAAUAUUUUGAACACAUGCUCACUAGACCUUAUCCUUCUAGUAAUCGAGGAGGUAACUAAUUUACUAGCAAAAGUGAGGACAGAAAUACAGGCUUUUGAAGCAAUACAUAAACCUACACUCUCCACAGACCCCAAAGAGAAUUGGCUAAAUAAAUUGUCAACAAAUCGAUAAAUAUAAAA